rnacentral:siRNA from 1 species
GAUAUGUGUCACACUUUCACGUGA